AAUAGGUUUAAUUUGACUUUUCAAUUGGGCCAUCGUUCUCUUUUCAUCAAUUCAUCUUCCCUCUACAGAAUUUUCUUUAACCGAACUUCACCAGCCAAAAAACCUAAUUCUAAAUCGUCACAAAAAAUUGUAAAACCAAUUCGCUUUUCUGAAAAUCGAUUUGUUGAAACUCUUCACCAGGAUAUGCUAUUGGAGAAAACAAAGAGGCCCUGUUGCGACUGUAUCUCAACAGUAGGGGACGAAUAUCAUACAAGAUUUAAUCUCAUAGUGGAAACUUUAUCAAAUCAAGGCUGCUAAAAUCAGAUUGGCGGCAAUUUGUUUUGCAACUCAGUGCUCGGUGAAGGGAAUCUGAUUUGGAAACAUUUACUUGGAAUCGUUGGUGAUAGUAAGGCCGCUUUCUUGAACGAGUGUCAACACCAAUAAUGUAAAUAAAAAGUGCAAGUUAUUGGAUGUUUGUGGAUCUGGUCAAAUUGUUGCAGAAGGACGAUGGUCCUCAAAUGAUCCGAGUCAAGUUGUUCAUUUUGUUCCAUUGGGUCCUAAUGCUACGAGAGUUUGAGUAGAAACUGCAAAAGUCCCAGCCGCGUCUCUCUGGAGACCUACAUCUGAGAUGGAAUUCAUUGAAGAUGCCAUAGGAACUACAGUAGCAUGGCGUUAUAUUUAAGAGUACCGAAAUGGAAGGAGAAAAUAGAGAAAAGUAAACAUGGGGAGUCACUAGCCUUUUGGGGAGCCAAAUGUUAGAGUAAAAUAUUUUUUAUUGUUUAUUUUUUAAAUAGCGGAGUAGGUUGUUCUCUGAUGUUGAAGUUAUCAGGAUAUUUCAUCAAACAUAAUAAGUAUUUUGUUCUUUCAUUAAUAAAAAAUUAUGAGUCAUUACUCAUAUUGCACCAUAGUAUCCUAUGUGUAUUUAGUAUUGUGAUUUAUCGUGCUGUUAUUGUAGCAAUUGCAAAUAGUGAUAGUAAUAACUAAUUACAUUAAAGAGAUGCUACAAUAGUGAAUAAUACAGGGAUAUAUAAUGCUAUAAAAGAUUGAACCGUAGCAUAUAAUAGCAUUUACAAUGUGAUGUUACAGAGUUUUACCAUAGCACACUAUAGUUGUCAUAAUAUAGUUUAUUAUAGCACAUCAUAGGUGCUCUUAAAAAAUGUACAAUAGCGCCUGAUUGUUGCGGUUAUAGUGUUUAUUAUAGCGUUACUUAGUCGUUAUUAAACAAAUUACAAUAGCGUCGGGUAACUGCUAUUUUAGAGUCUAUUAUGGCGCAUUACAAACGCUAUUAUCGAGGUUAACAUAGCGUUGACGGCGCGCUGUUGUAGUGGUUUUUACCAUAGCGCCAGGAAAACGCUAUGAAAUAUCCGGUAUCUAUUAUAGCUCCGGCAGACAUAGCGUUUUCAAAAACGCUAUCAUAGGCUACGAUAGCGUUUUGCAAACGCUAUGGAUGACAGUUUGUGGUGUA